rnacentral:rRNA from 1 species
GUGUGUGAUCAUACCAGCACUAAUGCACCGGAUCCCAUCAGAACUCCGAAGUUAAACGUGCUUGGGCGAGAGUAGUACUAAGAUGGGUGACCUCUUGGGAAGUCCUCGUGUUGCACCCC